AUAUUUUUGUGACAAUAGUUUAAGCCAUUGUUUAGUGCUGGCCUCUCGUCGUUUUGUGCCUAACAGGCGUUUACCAUUUGUUCAUCAUUGUGUGGAGAGGCCUUCAAUCAGCAGCAGCCUGUCAAGCAUCUUCACUGUGUGUUCUCUCUCUACUUGUGUGUCUGUCUGUGUGUCUCCGUGUCUAUGUUUAGUCUCUCGCAAAUUUAGCAUUCUUUGGAAGAACGUCCAUCAACCAAACUCUCUGGUUCUCGCGGUAAAGUCACGUCGCUAUAAAUAAACUAAAGUAAGUCGCGACGUUUCGCCUGAAGACGGACGCUUGUGUUGCGUUCGAGACGUCGUGAUGUAGUUGAUUUUCUACCCACGUCACUUUACCGCAAGAACCAAAGAGUGGAUUCCUGCAGUCACGAAAGCUUCAAAUCAAGGUUCAUCAGCCAGAACCGCACUUCUCAAUGAUGGGCUUCAUCCAUUCCAAGCCAAGGAACUCACUGGCGCCCACGAUUGUGGAGAAGCUCGUGUUCAUCAAGACCAACCUGCCCGCCGCAUUCUACGACUACCCCGUGCCCGACGGCCCCCCGAGAUCCCUCCAAUGACUCCGGCUCCUCCUCCCGUUCGUCGGGGCGGUGCUGCUCGCUGUGUGGUUCGCACGCGCGACGUGGCACAGAGAGACGUCCCACGCACGGGGAGGUGGCAUCAGAUUACCGGUGACGGAAUCGCAGCUCCUCCGCACUUCGACAUCAACGCCAUCACCGCCGUCAUCGUCAUCACUGUCACCUCCGCCGUCGUCGCCGGCACCACUACCCCUGGGCAAUCGCAAGGUCGAAAGUUACUUGCAACUUGCACACUUUCAUCCAACAAGUUCCACUGCUUGAGCCUAGACGUCAAAAGCCUAGCAUUGGACUUGGUGAGACCAAGAUCUCUGAUCAAGUCGUUGAGGUCUGGGUUUCUCUCCUCAGCUCCACCUCUGAAAUUGUCAUCUGGAUCUACAAUGUCUUCCUUGCGCUCUGACUUGCUGCUCUCUUCUAAAGACGGCUGCUCUCUCUCCGGAGGAGUGGGUACGGGGAGCUCAUGGCAGUGUGGCGCCGGGGUGAUGGAUGAAGGAAGGUGAUAGGUGCAUUCUUGCCAGUCCUACGUUUGGAAGGGUCCACCAUGCAGAAGUAGCAGUUACUUGAGUGGUCAGUGGGUUCUUGCCAAAUUCUUGGGAUAGCGAACUUCAUGGCUCUCUUUUCCCCUCAAUACCAUCCUACAAAAAUACAUUUAUUUCACCCAUGACUAGUGUGUAAGAGAUUCUCGCAACAUUUUUCAUAUAUGAUAUAU